ACGACGAGGUUCUUGUACUAUCUUGGCAAAAACGAAGUUUUCUGUGACCAAGUUAAAUUUAUUUCCAGGAAUUUCUAUUAGAAACAAAGUGCUAUCAACAAGUGGCCAAAAACAAUAGCGAAAAAUCAGUGUAGACUGUACAAAACGAAACUGUUUAAUACGCACCAAUAACAAUGCAAUAUAAAAGUAGGAAAAUUAAUCCGAUGCUCUGAUGUGACAUCUGAGGCGAAAUGGGGACACCACUAAAUAUCAUGGGGUUGUUGAAGUUUGGCAAGAUUCUCGAUUAAACUACACGGCCAAGCAGACGCAACGAGAGCCUGUGACGAACGAAGUUCACCGGCUACAUAAAUUUAGGAAAUAGUCUGACGACACUCUGGCCAAACCGAUAGUAAACACUUCAUCAUCAGCUUGUAUCAACCAGUUCUCAGGUGGUCAACCUAACCUAAAUGCACAAAUAGUGCAACUAAACGAUACGAUAUGAUUAAAACUGUCCCACGACUAGUCCAGUGACAUCUUCGUCGUCUAUCGAGUGAUUAUUUUUACGCUCGCGGUUCGAAUGGCGCCAUUUAUGCUACCUAACCUCGAGCCGGUGUCGUUUAACAGAGGUGCUCCGACUGGAAGGCCAUCGACGACCCGAAAAAAUCCUUGGGCCCCGUUGGGGUUGACUGUGCGUGUUCCUGUAUGUGUAGUGGAAUCGCCAGAUGGUCCUUCGUUCCGGAGAAGCAGCAGUACAAGCAGCGAGAACAGCGGGAGCACCCCCUACUACGAGCACUAAUGGCUGUGCAACAACGAACAAUUCGGUUCAUGCGGCAGGCGUUCGAGCCAUACCAAUCGCGUGUGAUGAGAUAAUCUCUUCAUCGUAAUGAAAAUGCUCUAUGCUAUGAAAUAUGAGGCAGUCAAGCAAUAGCUUCUCUGCUGCUACGGGCCUGCUGAGCAUAACACCAUCCUUCAAGGAUCAUGCGGCCACCGCGAAUUGCGCACUACCGACACUACGAAGGACCGGCCAUGCAGGAACUUUGUACGAGGAGGAGACGGUCAACCUAUGGCCGCUUCCUUGCGUUCGUAAAUCAUGAAUCGCAGACCAGUGAUCACUGAGACUCAGUUGGCCUGUUCAGAGGCAGCGUUUUCCGAGCAGGCCUGGUCAGUGGAAAUCGAAUAUCUCGAGUAAAAGCUAUGAAACAGCCUAAUGAGAAUUAUUUCUGACGUGACUGCAGGCAGCAAUGGCGGCAGCAAGUGGUGCUUUGGUGCUUCGACGAUGGGGGCUGAAUCGUCUUGGUUGUAACGCGAUAUCACGUCAGACUACGCUAGAGGGCGGAAGGGCAAACGUCUGUACGGAUUCGUGGAACUCGAGAGGGUGAUUUUUCAAGACUAUUCUCGUCAAAAAAAUUAGAGAUAAUUGUGACAAUUCUACCAGUGGAUCUGUAGUGGAUAGUGCCCGCGUUUUGACAC